GAUGAACGCUGACAGAAUGCUUAACACAUGCAAGUCUUUGGCGAAACUGUGCUUGCACAGCCUAGCCAAGGCGGACGGGUGAGUAACGCGUAAGGAACUUGCCCUGCAGUCAGGGAUAACAGACGGAAACGACUGAUAAGACCUGGUAAAGUCAGGCGGACUCAUGUCCAGCCUGAUGAAAAGAGAUGCUGCAGGAGAGCCUUGCGUCCUAUUAGCUUGUUGGUGGGGUAACGGCCCACCAAGGCGAUGAUAGGUAGCCGGCCUGAGAGGGUGGACGGCCACAAGGGGACUGAGAUACGGCCCUUACUCCUACGGGAGGCAGCAGUGGGGAAUAUUGGACAAUGGGGGCAACCCUGAUCCAGCAAUGCUGUGUGCACGAUGAAGGUUUUCGGAUUGUAAAGUGCUUUCAGCAGGGAAGAAAAAAUGACGGUACCUGCAGAAGAAGCGACGGCUAAAUACGUG
rnacentral:rRNA from 1 species